rnacentral:lncRNA from 1 species
CACCAAACUUAGUUCCAGGGCCCACAUUUGAAACUCCAUGAAGAGCCUCAGACCACCAUUCAUAUCCUUUGAUUCCAAGCCGCGGAACCGCUGCUGCACCGCUUAUCAGCAGCUUAACCUUCUCUUGCAAACUCAGCCUCCCAAUGAGGUCAUUCACUCUCUGCGGGAUCGGCAAAGAAACUUGACAGAACGGCAACGUUCUUGUCGUUGCAUCUUUUGGGUCGCAUGCAAAUGGCUCCCGGGCUGCUAAGCCAGAACUAGAAGCACUCAAGAGAAUGAGCCCAAGAAAAAAGAAAGCAAUGGUGGAAGCCAUUUUUGCGGACACGAAUGAUGAGUGCUUGUGUUGUGUGCAAGGCAGAGGGAUGAGGAAAGCGCUGUAUUUAUAGGCUUACAGGUGAAGCUUGGAGCAAGAAAUAGGAAGUGGUGAUGUGAGAGAAACGGUUUGAUGAUUAGAUGUCCACGUAGAUUUUCAACUGUUUAAAGAAAAAUAAAGCUUUAAUUUCAUAAUUAGUACAUUUAGUAUGUAUCUAUAUAAAUUAAGAGUAUGUAGCUGCGUUUAAUUGAAUGUGUAUCUGUUUGGUUGGGUCCCAAGUUGAGGUAACUAUUAUGAUAAUCCGGUGAGGUGGGUGACUGGGUUGGGUGUUAGUUUCCCAAGAGAUCAUCUGAUUGAAUUGUCAAUUCUGCGUAAUUCUUCAACAAGAUCUGCUCAUUGGAAUUAAAGUCUCUUCUCGUGGCUGGCAAGCAUAAAGAUUAAGAGAUAAAAUCAUUUGCUAUUUGUUAUCUUGUCCGAGUCAGCAUGUCUUGUGUGUACUGUGUGUGAGAUAGUGAAAUGUUUUUUUUUUUUUUGCCUUUAUCGUAAGAAAGGGGCAACAUUUAAGUAUUUAACAAAAGAGUAAAAGACCCACCUGACUUCUUGUGGUGUCGUGGCCAUCUGAUUAAGAAAGAGAGGGAGUCCAUCUUCGGUAAGUUUGCCGUAGUACGUUCGAGUUGUAAGUGUAUUCGUAUCUUCGCUUCAAAGAGAAGUCACCGGACUCGGAUACUGGACGGUGAAAUGAAUGAUUGCAUAAUUUUGCUCAGACAAAAAGAGCAAAAUUAAAAUAUAUAUAUAUAUAUAUNNNNNNNNNNNNNNNNNNNNNNNNNNNNNNNNNNNNNNNNNNNNNNNNNNNNNNNNNNNNNNNNNNNNNNNNNNNUUUCCCCCCCCCCCCAAAAAAAAAAAAAAAAAAAAAAUUCUUACCCGUCCGAUGGCUUCCCACAAGGUUGCAUUGAAAGAAGAAGCGGUUGUGAUGACUUGAGGGAAGCUGGUGGCCCCGGGGAAGUCCCCACCAAACUUAGUUCCAGGGCCCACAUUUGAAACUCCAUGAAGAGCCUCAGACCACCAUUCAUAUCCUUUGAUUCCAAGCCGCGGAACCGCUGCUGCACCGCUUAUCAGCAGCUUAACCUUCUCUUGCAAACUCAGCCUCCCAAUGAGGUCAUUCACUCUCUGCGGGAUCGGCAAAGAAACUUGACAGAACGGCAACGUUCUUGUCGUUGCAUCUUUUGGGUCGCAUGCAAAUGGCUCCCGGGCUGCUAAGCCAGAACUAGAAGCACUCAAGAGAAUGAGCCCAAGAAAAAAGAAAGC